rnacentral:lncRNA from 1 species
UUUUUUUUUUUUUUUUUUUGUCUUUUUAGGGCCGCACCCUCAGCAUACGGAGGUUCCCAGACUAGGGGUCCAAUCGGAGCUGUAGCCGCCAGCCGACACCACAGCCACGGCCAGAUCUGAGCCACAUCUGCGACCUACACCAUAGCUCACGGCAACGCUGGGUCCUUAACCCACGAGUGAGGCCAGGGAUCGAACCUGCAACCUCAUGGUUCCUAGUUGGAUUCGUUUCUGCUGUGCCAUCUUUACUUGAAAGAGAAACUGACAGAUAAACUCUGAUUUUUCCGAUUUGAGUAUUUGACAGACAUUUUCUCAAAUGUGAACAAAGUAAGACUUUGAAGGGGGGAAAAAAACCCGACAAUAUUUAUCACCCAUGGUAACAUCUGAGCUUUCCGGUGAGAAUUCGACUUUUGGAAGAAUGUUUGUCACUGUUAACUUUGACAGUGUCCUAAAACUUAACAACGUUUCUGGUGAGACUGGUAACGAUACCAGUAAACGUAAUUUGUUUUUGUUUUUUUUUUAAAGAUCGUGUCGUGAAAUGUGUCAACAUUUGGCAGAGCUGCAUGCCUCAGUGAACCAGCAUUUUCUAAAUGACCCCUGCGUGAGGUUACAAAAUCACGCAUCGGGGGAAUGAGUCACGCAAAGUGCAAGACAGACCAGUGGGUUUUCACGUAAGGGUACCCCAAGUGCACUGAUGUGGUUUCAGACGCUACGCUGGCGCUGACCUUUGAGAAACAACCGCGUGGCGAGUUCUGGCCUCGUAUCAAAGCCGACGAUUCACAAUUAUCUUUGAAGCUAUUAAAACAGUCCUCUCUUAUCCAACUACACAUCUGUGGGAAGCUGGACUCUCUUUCCUUUUUCUCUUAUGGCCAAACCCAUGGCAAAUGGAAGUUCCCAGGCCAGGAAUCAAACGCAAGCCAGAGCUAUGACCUAUGCUGGGGCUGCAGCAAUGCCAGAUCCUUCGACCUACUGAGCUGGGCUGGGGAUCGAAUCGGCACCUUCACAGAGAGAAGGCGGAUCAUUAGGCCACUGGGCCACGGAGGAAACACCUGGAUUUUCUUCAACGUAAACAAUAGAUCAGCAAGGACUGAAUGCAGAAGCACAUCUGAAGGUCCAGCUGCCUUUGGUUAAACCAGACAUUAAAGACACCUGCAAAAAUAUAAAGCAGGAGUUCCCGUCGUGACUCAGUGGUUAAUGAAUCCGACUAGGAACCAUGAGGUUGUGGGUUCGAUCCCUGGCCUUGCUCAGUGGAUUAAGGAUCCAGUGUUGUCGCGAGCUGUGGUUUGGGUUCGUUUCCACUGAGCCACAGCAGGCACUCCCUAAAAAUAUGUUUUUUUUUUUUAAAUAAUGAUUUCUAUUUUUUCCAUUAUAGCUGGUAUACAGUAUUCUGUCUAAAAGUAUGUUCUUAAUGUUAACAUGUAAUAUGGAUUUAUCAUGGUUAUCUUUAAAUGAUUUCAUAAAUACAUUGAGAAAUUUCUAAUAUGGAAAAUACCAGUUGCUAGAAAACCCACACAAGCCGAAGCUCUUGGGACCCUCAAUGCUUUCGAGGGUAAGGAGGCGCUGGACCCAUAGUUUGAGAGCCACUGGCUUGGGGCAGCGGGAGCAGAGAGAAAAGAGGGCAGAGAUUAUGCCCCGUCGGGCUCCGGGGAUUGGGGCUGGGCAGGGCUAUGUCUCUGCCCUUGCAGGUGGCCGUGGCCUUGGCCUUGGCCUGGGUGAGGGCUGCUUGAACCACACUGCCAGGGCGUUUGAGGAGAAUUACACAUCUUCUGGCAAGAGAUACACGUGGGGCAGGAUGGUGACCACGAAGGCAAAGGCUGAGGCGGACUGAGACGGUGCCGCCAAGUACUGAAAGAACCACCCAGAAGCCCUGGGCGAGCCGAGGGAGAGCGAGAGGAAGCGGCCACUUCUGCCCUUGGCUUGAGCAGGGUCCAGCCCCAUGGGGUGACAGCCCAGGAAGUAAUGGGGCCUGAGUCCCGCUAUCCCAUCAGAAGCUGAAGAGGAGCUGGUGUGGGGGGGUGCCCAAGAAUUUAGAGCUGAACAGGGAUUCUUGUCACCAGUGUGCAAUUCACAGGACGCUCUGGGCCCCUUCCCAGGGAUGUGUUAAUUACCUCCCCCCACUGGUCCCCGCGGGCAACCAGGCUGGAAACGAGCAAAGGCCAGCUCCAGCUCACGCUGCUCCGUUCUGCCUGCGAAAACCCCUGUCCUCAGCCCCACGCUUGGCUCUAGGGCAGAGAUGUGGAAUUUUCCAGGAAAACUUCAAAAUCAGCACUGAGAGGGGAAGACAUUUGAAAAGUGAUGCUGAAGAGGAGAAAGAAAAGAAAGGGCAGGCUGGGCUUGGCCAGGGCUGCCCGGGACCCGAGGGCUGAGGAGGUGAAAACCGAGGCUGUGUGUUUUCAUCUCACACGGAGUCCCCAGAACAGCACUCAAACGUGACCCAGGCCCCAGGGCAUCCCGUCCUCCUGGGAUUUGAAGCUCGGGGACCCAGAGGUCCUGCAGCUUCUGCUGUGAGCCACAUCUAAGAGGGCCUCUCUGGAUGUCCAGCCAGCCAAAUGUCUGUGUCACGUCCCUAAUAUCCCACACCCGGAGUGGAGAAUCAGGGCGCAGUGCCCUGCCUGCACGCUUGGCACAGGUACCACGUUACAUGUUAGGGGGCCAUCAGGGAUGAUGGCAGAAAGCCCUCCGCCCUCGCAAGUCUCUGUUCUCAGAGACGUAACCGGGCAACUACAACUCGGUGGGACCGGCACUCAGACGGUGAGGCUGUGGGGACACAGACAGAGAACCCUAACUCAGGCUCAGGCAAUCUGGGAAGACUUUUGGGAGGAGGUGGCAUCGAGAGGACCCAGUCAAGGAGACAGUACAAUGUAGGCAGUAGGAGCUUGGCUCCAGGGCAGACUUGGGUUUGAAUCCUACCUCCUAGUUCUGAUCCUGAGCCUUGCCGUCCCCCGCCCAAACCCCCACCAAAAUCAGAGAUGUUAUUAGUUACCUGCCUCAUAGGACUGCUGAGGGGUUAAGCAUAAUUAUGCAGGUAAAAAAUCAUGAUGCGGGGCUUGGCACAUCCUAACCACUCAAUAAAUGAUACCUGUUGUAUUUAUAACCGUGCAAAGCUCUAUUCUCACCCCUGACAGGUCCACCCAGGUCAGACCCCCAGACUAUUCCACACCAGGUGGAGCUGCCAGCCCAGAGCAGGAGCAUGGAUGGAACCCUGGCCCUGUCAGCCUCAGCCCGGGCCCUCUCCUCAUACGGGGCACACGUGGGGGGAGGGGAGAGGGGCAGCCCCAGAGCCUAGACAGGGCGAUGACGGGCAGAGGGGGCACUGCCCACCUCUCCUGAGCCUGCGGAGUGCUGAGCACGACGCAGAGCUGAUCUUGAGGAGUAUUUUCCAGCACAGAAACUCCAAGUCACCUGCCUGGAAUGAAGCAGGGGAAAAAAAAAAAAAAAAAAAAAAA